rnacentral:rRNA from 1 species
UACAGGGGGUGCAAACGUUGCUCGGAAUCAUUGGGCGUAAAGCGCACGUAGGCGGUCUGUUAUGUCGGAUGUGAAAGCCCUUGGCUCAACUGAGGAAGUGCAUCCGAAACUGGCAGGCUAGAGUACUAAAGAGGAUCGCGGAAUUCCCGGUGUAGAGGUGAAAUUCGUAGAUAUUCGCAAGAACACCAGUGGCGAAGGCGGCUCACUGGCUCGGUACUGACGCUGAGGUGCGAAAGCGUGGGGAGCAAACAGGG